UACGUAGGGGGCAAGCGUUGUCCGGAAUCAUUGGGCGUAAAGCGCGUGUAGGCGGCCCGAUAAGUCCGUUGUGAAAGUCCAGGGCUCAACCCUGGGAUGCCGGUGGAUACUGUCGGGCUCGAGUCCGGAAGAGGAGUGUGGAAUUCCUGGUGUGAGCGGUGAAAUGCGCAGAUAUCAGGAGGAACACCAAUGGCGAAGGCAGCACUCUGGGACGUGACUGACGCUGAGACGCGAAAGCGUGGGGAGCAAACAGG
rnacentral:rRNA from 1 species